UGCUUUACCUUUUGACUAGCUACUUUCCAGCUAGCAACAGGUCACGCCCAGCUCCUCUCUUAUCCAUUCCCAACAGUCACAAGCUCAGAUAACUCCUCCUUGCUCCCUAAGUUUGCACAUCUCCAUUUCGGGUCAAUCCGGGUAAAGUGGUACGGCCUGCUCAUCCGUACGGUUGAUGGUACGGACCUGAUGUCCGUACCUCGCCCUAUAUUUGCACAACUUCACCAAGCUUCUUCAAUAGAUGAACCAGAUCAUGUUUUGGGUCGCCCUAACUUUGCACGGUCGGUUCGUACCGUCUGAACCUCGGGACGCCCUAUCUUUGCACCAUCACCCAACUAUCUCCAAAUGGUGUCUAAGUCCCUCCUGGACUUAAACACUAUCUUUGUACAGCCUUCAUGACUCUUCUAGACUUCUCUAAACCCUCAUGAAGCCUUGAUAGACAAUCUCUUAAGAUCUUGUCCCUAUCUUUGCACCAGACCCAAACUCCUCCAUGCUUCUCCUUUGGCUCCAUUUCACUCUUCAAGUCAACACUCCCCCUCAAGCUUGACUUUAGGAGAUCCUAAGCCAAGCUUGGAACUCUGAAGAGUCUCCCUCAUUAAAAACCUUACAAGGAAAAUCCAUUGGGACAAAACCUUGCAAGGGAAAAAGAGUAGAGCUCUCCAAAGCCUAGGGAUUGGCCAGUGAGCUCUUGUGCCUUAGAACCAAUGUGGUUGGACACAAGAAGCUCUGGAUCACGGCCUAAUAGGUGCAGCAACUCUUCACAGCUUUGCCUACACUUCACACUUCAGCUUCACCUCUUCAUGGAACCGGUUUGAAGUCUCCCCCUCUCAACUGACUUCACAGCCAUCUUAGAGAAGCUAGGACACGACCAGAUCAUCUUCAAAACACCAGUGAGGCUGAUCAAUCACUUCACACACGGCUUGCCUUCUUCAUCGACCAGGUUUGGAAUCUCCCCCUCUCAACAGACUUCACAGCCUCUUUAGAGAAGCUAAGAGAUGACCCGGAACUGUUUAAUGAGGCAUCAAGCAAUGGUACCUGAUACAUUAUCCCAAAGGUGCAUCAGUACUUAUCAAUACCAAGAAAAUGAAUAUCCUGCAUCCCAAUUGAUGCACACAAUCUCACAAUUCAAUCAUAAUCAUCUUAAGUAUCUUUUCAAGCACAAGCAAUGAAUAAGAUGAAUGAAAAAGAUUGAAAAGAGUUUUAAAAGUCUAAGGGAACUUCCCUUGUGUUUUUGUGAGUUUCCUAACUCGGCCAAUGCACCAUCUUCAUGGCAUCAUCAACUUCUUGGAAAAGCAGAAUGGAUUUAUCAGCUUCUCCUCAAUCACCUCUCAUUGAAGCCGCAUUGAUGGAUAACCUUCUUCCUCACUUGCCAAGACUGCUCUGAACAGCCUCUUGCCUAGACACGCCACUGACUUGGCCCGGUUGAUGAUCCUUUGUAGAAGCCUUUGCAAAGACUUGUUACUGACCAUGGAUCAUAUGCAUUAAGACUCCCCCUCAAGCUUAGAACCGAGACUAGAAGGAGCUAAGCUUGUGAUGAUCCUAUGCAUCUCCAUGGUCUAAUAACUAUCAUCUUUCAUGAUAGCUUUCUUCUUGUGAGUUUACUCUCUUCCUUAACCAGGAACUAGGGUGUUUGAAUCACCAUAGAGAGUCUCACAAGACACACCUCUCAUUGCAUAAUGACCCAUGCUACACUUCCUGUAGACUAAGGACUAGAUAUGUCCAAUGGUAUUAUGCAAUGGCCAUCUCUCAUUGCAUACUCAAUCACACUACACUUCCUGUAGAUUAUGGACUAACAUGUCCUAGUGAUGAUAUGCAAUGGCACAAGACCUUUGUCUUUACAUUCUUGGUUGUUGGCGAGUUACAUGUAUCACAUUCCUUGUGUACCUAACACCACCACAACUCAAUGCAAGAUCAGAUCAUCCCAUUGGGAUCAAACCAAGAUUAUCCAUCCUGUUUGAUCACCAAUGCCAGAAUAAUACAUGAUACUUGAAACAAGCUAGACAAUCAAGACAAUCAAUUCAGUUUUUUUUUUUAAAUGCAACAAUAGAUGAAUGCAUUAGGUUACACACUAACUAUAUGAAUGAAACAGAUUCAAUCCAAAUGGAACACAAGUCUAGAUGAUACUGAUGCAAUUAAGGCGACAAGAGUGACUCAAUUCAUGCUUAUGCUCACUAGUUUUAUCAAAGCCAAUGAUUCAAGUAGCUUAGACAUACUUCUAAAUGCUUAUAAGACAUCACUGAUGGAUUUAACUAUGGCAUAGCAACAAUCAGAACUGGACUGAGUCAAGACAAGCAGAUUUCAAUUUCUAACAAUGACAAUGCAAGUUCUAUACUUAAGUUCUCUAAAAGCAAAGCUUACAUCAGUACAUUUGCAAUUUAGGCUCAUUUUUAAAUGCAUUACUACAUGAAUGCACAAUCUUAAAGAAUUAGCUAUAUGAAUGCAACAGGUUCAAUCCAUGAGUAAUAUUAAAGCUCUGCACAACAGUUUCAAUCAGAACCAAUGAUGCAAGCAACUUAGACAAUUUCUAAUUGAUGCAAGACUUUCAUUGAUGGAUUAAACAUAGGCAAUAGCAUCAGAUAACACUGGGAUUGAACUUAGACAGUAUGAGAUAUGCUUAUGUAUGCAAAAUAACUUAUCAAUCAUGAUGCAAGCAGCAGAGGCAUUCUACUCAAUUCUACAACACAUUCAUGAUGAUUCAAGCUAUGACAACUCCCAAGACAAUGCAAUAAACAGAACAUGAGAUUCUGGGACUCUAGACAUUAAUUACUAACAAUAAGACAAUGCAGCAGCAAAACAAUUUCAGUGCAAUUAGCCUAGACAUUCUACUAGAAGCUAUAAACUCUUAAUGGAAUUUGGGAAAGCACAGAGUAUAAUCAAGAGAUAGAUUUAUCAAGACAUAUUAAAAUAGAUGAGACUAGGUUUACUCCCUUGUUUAAGAUGAUGAGGAGUGGUUCUUAAAGUUGCCACUUGAAUCCUCACUUCUUCUUCUUCUCUUAUUGUAAUCACCCUUCUGAAUUCACCACCAUGAUGGAAUGCUUGUGGAUGCUUCAGCUACUUCUUCAAUCACCUCACAAUAGAAGCCGCCUUGAUAGAGUAGCCUUCUUCUUCACACAGCCAAGAGUGCUCUGUCUUAGUUUGAGCACCCUCUUGAAUAGGCAAGCCACUGCCUAGACCCGGUUGGCUUCUUCUUCAGGUACUUGCAAUGGUAAGAGGAAGAACACCAGUGAGCUUAAGUGAGUUUUACAACCAUCUGUGCUUCUCCCUUAUUGUAACACCUCUCCAUUGUACACACAAUGGGCAUCAUUCUUUCUCUUUCAACUUGGAUUUGAUGAUGAGCUCGGAACACCUUUUGUGAACCUGAAACAUCACUCAAACUCUAGCAAAGAUAAGACACAAUUGCAUUGGGAUCAAUCCUUGACUUCAUCAAGUUUGAUCACCAAUGUCUCAAGCUUUAUAACAUUAGAUAGAAUCAAGACAAUGUCAACUUCUUAUCUAUGCAAGCAACCAUUCUCUAAAUACUAAGCAAGACCUUAUCAGAUUCAAGUCAAAGUAUUUAGGCAAUUUUAAACACUCCUUAAUAUGCAACUUAGACUUUAAUCUAAAUGCAAAACAAUACAAGGCAGCAACAAGGCAGUAUGAAUUAAUCUUAAUCAGUUUCUAACUCAUGAAAGCAAGCAUGAUUAGAUAAUAUAAUCUAUCAUCUUAACAAGACAAGUUAAUUUAGAACUGACAUUAAGCAUUUAACCAUUUUCAAUCGUAUUGAAUUCAAAUCUUGAUUAAUAAAUUAUCAAGUUUGAUUCUCACUAUUACAAGCAAUGCAACAGAUAGACACAAGGCAUUAUCAAGUUCUAUUCUUUGCAAGCUAACUCUCUAAGUACAAGCAAGAUCCUAGCAGAUUCAAGACAAGUUACUUAGGCACUCUUAAGAGCUUCUUUACUCAGUACUUAGACAUGAAUCUAAUACUUCAAUGUAAGACAGCCACAAGACUAUAUGCAACAGCUUUAAAUUCGGUUUCACUCCAUGUAUGCAAGCAGAUUUAAUUAAUCACAACAAGCAUCACUAUGAACCGGAGCUAAGCAUACUAAACAAUUUCAAUACCCAAACAAGACUCUUAAAGUAUCCUGGGACAGAUUCUAAAGCAACUUCAUUUUAGCAAUCUUUUAAACAAUCCUCAGGUUUUCAAUCACAUCACAACAUCACAACCUGUUCAUACACUCAAGCUUUAUACAAGAGAAAGAGAUUUCCUUACAGCCAAGGAACUAGUGUUAGUUCCUUGAAACUCUUUAGUGCAUGGGAAGAUCCGAGCUGUUGGUGUCAACUCCUACAUCUCCUUCUUUCAUGGACCUUUCUCUUGAACCCAUCAUGCCUAAGACACCUCCUCUCUUCAUUUUUGAGUCUCCAUACCAGGUACAAGUUGAAAGCUUUCACCUUUCUUCUUGGACAGUGAAUAGGAAUGGCUUGGACAUGCUUCCAAUGGCCUUCUUUCUUCAGGACGACCAUGAGAGAGUGGAGAACGACCAAGAACAGCUUCUGGACGCCAUUGGUGAGCACACCUUCUUCUUGAAGAGGUUGAACAGCCAAAUGAACAUGAAGCUUCUUCUUGGUUUGGAAAUGGCAUGGGAGUGAGCUUUGAGCUUAGCAGAAGCUGGAACCAAGUUCUAAUGAACCUGGCUCUGAUACCAUCUGAAAUUUAAGAGUACUCAGGUUGUAUGUGUGUGUGAAACCCAAAUGGGUAAAGAGAAAGAGCUUAGAAGCGAUUUGAGAGAAAGGAAGUUUAAUGAGAGUUUGUGUGUCUAAGUGUUUAAGAGAUUAGUAACAAGACUGAGAACGUGUGUAGAGAUUCAGGAUGAGAGACUAAGAGAAUAAGAGACUGAAGAUUAGUGUUUCAGAUUAGAGAAGGAGAAGGGAAACCCCCUUACUCACUUAAGGGUUACAAAAACGUCCACACAUAGCCUUUAUAUAGGCUUUACAAGUUUGCAAUCAUAAACCCUUAAUCUAAUGGCUAAAAAUGACUUGAGAAUGAAUGGCUAGGAUGUAGUCUUGGAUCUGGUCUUCACAAUCUUGGUGAUGGUCUCUGAUUGGCUAAAGGAAUCUGGUGAGAAGCUUGGAUGGUUCAGAUUGCCCAGGUUUGAAAUGGAUGGAUAAGAUGGAGCCUUGUGUAUUCCAUGGUCAAAGGUGCUUUACCUUUUGACUAGCUACUUUCCAGCUAGCAACAGGUCACGCCCAGCUCCUCUCUUAUCCAUUCCCAACAGUCACAAGCUCAGAUAACUCCUCCUUGCUCCCUAAGUUUGCACAUCUCCAUUUCGGGUCAAUCCGGGUAAAGUGGUACGGCCUGCUCAUCCGUACGGUUGAUGGUACGGACCUGAUGUCCGUACCUCGCCCUAUAUUUGCACAACUUCACCAAGCUUCUUCAAUAGAUGAACCAGAUCAUGUUUUGGGUCGCCCUAACUUUGCACGGUCGGUUCGUACCGUCUGAACCUCGGGACGCCCUAUCUUUGCACCAUCACCCAACUAUCUCCAAAUGGUGUCUAAGUCCCUCCUGGACUUAAACACUAUCUUUGUACAGC
rnacentral:lncRNA from 1 species